rnacentral:rRNA from 1 species
UAAUACAGAGGGUGCGAGCGUUAAUCGGAGUUACUGGGCGUAAAGGGCGCGUAGGCGGUUAUAUGGGUGUGAUGUGAAAGCCCCGGGCUUAACCUGGGAAGUGCAUCGCAAACUAUAUAGCUAGAGUAUAAGAGAGGGUGGCGGAAUUUCCGGUGUAGCGGUGAAAUGCGUAGAGAUCGGAAGGAACGUCAAUGGCGAAGGCAGCCACCUGGCUUAAUACUGACGCUGAAGCGCGAAAGCGUGGGGAGCGAACAGGAUUAGAUACCCUGGUAGUCCACGCUGUAAACGAUGAGAACUAGAUGUUGGUAGGGGAACCUAUCAGUAUCGAAGCUAACGCGAUAAGUUCUCCGCCUGGGAAGUACGGCCGCAAGGUUG